UUUCUAGUUUGACACAACUUGAUUUGUCGAAUUCAGGUUUUUCUGGUCUAAUUCCUUCUCUAAUCUCUCAUCUUUAUAAAUUAUAUAUUCUUCGUAUACGGAAUUUUGAUCCACCUAGGCUUAGAUUAGGACCUCAUAAUUUUGAAUUGCUCUUGACCCAAUUAAGAGAGCUUGACCUUACCUAUGUGAAGAUAUCUUCCACCAUUCCUCUAAAUUUCUCUUCUUUUUUAACAACUCUACUUCUUUCGGACACACAGUUAUUUGGUAUAUUGCCCGAAAGAGUUUUUCACAUUUCUGACUUGAAAUCUCUUUAUUUAUCAUCGAAUCCCCAGCUCACUGUUGGGUUUCCCACAACUAAAUGGAAUAGCAGUGCAUCUCUCAUGGAGUUAGGUCUCAGUGGUGUGAAUUUUACUGGUAGGAUACCUGAAUCAUUUAGCUAUUUAUCUUCAUUGCAAAUAUUGUGGUUGAGAUCUUCCAAUCUCACAGGGCCCUUUCCUAAACCUAUACGGAAUCUCACCAGCAUUGAACUAUUACAUCUUGGGGGAAACAACUUGAAUGGCCAAAUUGAGUGUUUAUCUUGUAAUCAAAGUUGGACCAAAUUACGGUCCGUAAAAAGCUGGACCAUUUUCAGAAUGUCCAGUAAAACACCUCUUUAAUUACGAUCACUGGUACGAGCCGUAAUUCAUUUUACGGUCGGUAAUUCUGGUCAUAAUUUUCCAUGUCAAAUUUUCAGAAUUCAAAGUGGAUUUGAAGCCUUUUUACGGACCGGGAUACGGUCCGUAAUCUGUUUUAAGGCCUAUAACUUUGGGCGUAAAACUUGAUCUCCUGAACUACAGCAAAUAUUUCAACUCCAACAUCCUCCAUCUGAUUUUCUAAGUCACGAGGUGUUACAAUAGAUUGAUCUUUAUUCAAACUAUUUUUUUGUAGACUAGGGGCAAGGUUCCAUGUCCCCUUCUAGUCAAUGUAAGUUUAUCUGAUUAAUCUAACAUGGUAGGGAUCAAGCCAGACUCCCCACACUAGGCUCACAACCUAAUGGUGAUGGCUUAAUAUAAAAUAAAAAUAAAAGUCUUUUAUUGUUCAAGAAGUAAUGUGGAAAGCCUUGGGCCAAUCACUUGAAAGGUUAUAUUUCUGUCAACCAUCAAAGGAUUAACGAAAUCCCUCUCAUUUUCGAUCAGAAAUUUCGAAUUCAAAUAUUAAAAAUAAAGAAAACUUUUUGUAGGGAGCAAUGCUAUUUUUAAUGAACCUUACGCGAUGUGAAUUUGAAUGAACUGAGCCAAUUGAUGAAGACUACCGGAUAAUUACCAAAAAGGGCAAUUUAAAGAACUUUAGCCAACACACUAAAAAAAUUCACCCGUCCAAUUGUAAUAGAUUGUAACCGCCCUAGUAUAUUUAGUGUAUCACAAAUGUAUAAUAAGUACAUAACUACAUACUAAUUAUAUAAUGAUUAUAAUUAUUAAAUUUUUAUUUUUUAUAUAGUGGUUGUUAUUGAACUGCUGCUUUUGAAGUACAAAAUUUAAACAAAAUCUAUAUGUUUGUGUCUUGAUCCAAAUCCCCGGAUGAUGGCUAGACAAGACAAAAGGAAUGUCGUAGCAAAGAUACCUUUUAUACAUGGUAUUAUUGAUUGAAAAAAAAAAAAUCAUAGUAUUCUCACAUGUACACCAAUCUUUAAUUACAAGAUGAUUAAUCGUACAUAAAGCCAAAAUAUCCCAGUAUCAUCCAUAUGAUGUGUAUGUGAUACAAAGUUAUAAUUUUAAGUAAUUGCAGUACUAAGGCUGAAAUGAGUUAUGAAUAGAUUUAGCGACGAAUUUUGCUAUUUAGUCUAAAGAAGCUGGAAAUGAUGGAAGAAGAUCUCUCCAGGUUUUCCAACAGUUACAGAUUCUUUUUGGACUAUCAAAUUUUUCUUCCUUUACUUCUUUUAUUUUUUAACCUUUUUGUCUGUUUUCUGGUAGGUUUUGUUUUUAUCUUUGGAUCUUUUAUUUGCUAGUACUAGUACUAUUAAUUACCAGGAAAAAAUUUGUAGUACCAAUCUAAUUAGUAAUUCUUAAAAAUUUCUUGUCUGAAUUGUUCAGUCUUUUUCAUAGGAACCAUCGUCCUUUUGCCGUUACUGAUACCGUUUCUUCUUAUUCACGUGUUACAAUGCCAUGUAAAAAUGUCUUAUCUUUUUUUGUUGUUUUUUUUGUUUUCUUGUGAGUUGGAUAGAUGCUUUAAGCGUUCAGCUCUGAAUUUCUUUUAGCCACCCCUUUUCAUGAUAAUGUUUUACAGUUUUAGACCAAUUAUUAUCUAGAAUUUUCUCUUUAUUCACAGUCACCGCUAUAUUUUGAACGAAAGUUCACUAUCAUAUGUGGUAUUUAACCCCCAUAUAUAGCUAAAAAUGGAUUCAAAGAUUAUUAAUCGAUGCUUACCUGAUCAGCUCGUCCCAGUAAAAUGUUUUAUCCCCCAAUUUUCCCUUUGUUGCAUUUAUUCAUUUUUUUUUCUUGAGAGAAGUCAGUAUAAAGUAUAAAGCCUUUUCAUUACUGACUAAUGGAGUAAUUACUACCAACUUUUGUCAAUAUUAAUAUGUGGGGAAAUUUCAUGGUUUUCCUCUUCUCCCUUUUUUUUUUUUUUAAAUGUAAUUUCUAACCAACCAGGUGUAGGCCUGAGUUGUUGGGGGUUUGGCUUUAACCCCUACCUUAUUUAUUCAUAAAAGAUUAUACAAGAAGGGGGACUUGGUGCCAAAAACCUUCUAGCCGAGCAAAAACCCAUAUGCAAUUACUAUACAAGACUAAUGCAAAAAGCAUACUCUAAAAUUGCAUAUGGGGGGCGCAGGGCAGGGGGAGGGGGUGGGGAAGUGAGGACCGCUCUGAUCUAUACAGAAAUUGCCCUCCUCUAUCUAGAUCUCAUAGUGGUUCAAAAUACCAACCAGAGUAUUUACAUGCUUUACAUCUAAAGGAGGCUGAAUGAGCAAGUCCAUUCUCAAAGGUCCUCUAGCAUUCUCUGGCAAAUCAUCUUCUCGAAGGAAUAUACUGUCUUCAGCCACAUUCAAAGCUGCUUUCUUUGCCAAAUUGUCUGCUACAACAUUUGCUUCUCUAUAGCAAUGCUUGAUGUCAAUUUGUUGAAUGAUCUUUUGAGCUGCCUCUAUUGUCUUCCUGGUCCUCCAAGGUGGAGUGGUAUUUCCUUUUGAGCAUGUUCACUAUAACUAGUGAAUCCAUUUCAAGUAUUAACCGAGGUUGCGGCUGCUGUUCAUUAUACCAAUUGAUUCUAUGCAUUGCAGCUUGUAAUUCACAGGAAUUGUUAGUGGAGAAUUGGAUGUGUUUAGCAAAUGCCUUAACCAUUCUUCCAUUUCCCUUCCUUAACAAUUCCCCAAAUACCAGAUGCUCUGCUUCUUCCCAUAGUGCUGCCAUCAGUAUUCAGCUUCCAUGAAUCACCUUCUGGUUCAUCCUAAUAUAUCAUCAUGCUGUUCCGAACCUAGCAUUUUGUGAUGCAUUGGCACAAGAAAGUGCAAGAAAUCCACCAAGUUUGAGCAGCAUUGGGAGUCAUUUAUAUGGAAGUAGCAACAACAACAUGAGUUUAGGGGGUCUCUCGAAAAUAAAUUCACAAAUUUCAUCAGAUCGCAAAGAUGUACUUCAUUUCAAAGGCAACAACAACAACAUGAAGAAUAUCGCUAGUGGCGGAGCCCACCACCAUCAUCACAAUCACACUACAACAUUGUGUAUCUAUAGCUACAAAGUACAUUGUAGCUAAUUAUGAAAAUUUUCAUGGCUAAACACUUUAGCCACAACUUUUUGUUCCGUAGCAUUCGUAGCAAAAUAUAGCGUAGCUAAAAGUUAGCUGCAAACUUUACAUGAUCCGUGGCUAAGGACUAAUAUUUAUUGUUAUAGAAUGUUUUUGUGUUGUAGCUGUAA